GUCAAGAUGGCGGAGUGGUCUAAGGCGCCAGACUCAAGAUCUGGUUUUCCAAAGAGGGUGUGGGUUCAAAUCCCACUUUUGAUA